AUGGUGCAGCUCGCAAAGGCAGGUAAAAAUCAAGGUGACCCCAAGAAUUGGCUCCUCCCCCAAAGGAGGUAGAAGAAGACAAUGAAGAUGAGGAAAUGUCAGAAGAUGAUGAUGAUGACAGCAGUGAGGAAGAGGUUAUCGUCCCUCAGAAGAAAGGCAAGAAGGCUACUGCAACCCCAGCAAAGAAAGUGAUGGUUUCUCCAACUAAAAAGGUUGCAGUUGCCACACCUGCCAAGAAGCAGCUGUUACCCCAGGCAAAAAGGCAGCAGCCCCACAGACCAAGAAGAUGGUUACUCCAGCCAAAGCAGUAGCAACACCCGGCAAAAAGGGAGGCACACCCGGCAAAGCAUUGGUAGCAACCCCUGGUAAGAAGGGAGCAGCCACUCCAGCCAAGAGGGCAAAGAACACAAGAAUGCCAAGAAGAAAGACAGUGGUGAUGAGGAUGAUGACAGUGAGGAGGAGGAGGAGGAGGAAUUUGAACCAGCAGUGAUGAAAGCAGCAGCCUGCCUCAGAGGAUGAAGAUGAUGAGGGAGAUGAAGAUAAAGACGAGGAGGAGGAUGACUCUGAAGAAGCAGCUAUGGAGACAACAUCAGCCGAAGGAAAGAAAGCUUCUGCAAGUUGUUCCUGUGAAAGCUAAGAGUGUGGCUGAGGAGGAACAUGAAGAUGAUGAGGAAGAGGAUGAAGAGGAGGAGGAGGAAGAGGAGGAAGAGCCUGUCAAAGAAGAACCUGGAAAACGAAAGAAGGAAAUGAUGAAACAGAAAGCGGCUCCUGAAGCCAAGAAACAGAAAGUGGAAGGAACAGAACCGACUACACCUUUCAAUCUGUUUACUGGAAACCUGAAUUCUAACAAAUCUGCUCCCGAAUUAAAAACUGGUAUCAGUGAUGUUUUUGCUAAAAACGAUCUUGCUGUUGUGGAUGUCAGAAUUGGUAUGACUAGAAAGUUUGGCUAUGUGGAUUUUGAAUCUGCUGAAGACCUGGAAAAAGCCUUGGAGCUCACUGGUUUGAAAGUCUUUGGCAAUGAAAUUAAACUAGAGAAACCAAAAGGGAAAGACAGUAAGAACGAUCGGGAUGCCAGAACACUUUUGGCCAAAAACCUUCCCUACAAAGUCACUCAGGAUGAAUUAAAAGAAGUGUUUGAAGAUGCUAUGGAGAUCAGAAUAGUCAGCAAAGAUGGGAAGAGUAAAGGGAUUGCUUAUAUUGAAUUUAAGACAGAAGCUGAUGCACAGAAAAUAUUUGAAGAAAAGCAGGGAACAGAGAUUGAUGGGCGAUCCAUUUCCCUGUACUACACUGGGUAGAAAGGUCAAAGUCAAGACUAUAGGGGUGGAAAGAAUAGCACUUGGAGCGGUGAAUCAAAAACUCUGGUUUUAAGCAACUUGUCCUACAGUGCAACAGAAGAAACUCUUCAGGAAGUAUUUGAGAAGGCAACUUUUAUCAAAGUGCCCCAGAACCAAAAUGGCAAAUCUAAAGGGUAUGCAUUUAUAGAAUUUGCUUCAUUUGAAGAUGCUAAUGAAGCUUUAAAUUCCUGUAAUAAAAGGGAAAUUGAGGGCAGAGCAAUCAGGCUGGAGUUACAAGCACCCAGAGGAUCACCUAAUGCCAGAAGCCAGCAGUCCAAAACUCUGUUUGUCAAAGGUCUGUCUGAGGGUACCACUGAAGAGACAUUGAAGGAGUCGUUUGACGGCUGUGUUCGUGCACGGAUAGUCACUGACAGGGAAACUGGGUCCUCCAAAGGGUUUGUGUUUGUAGACUUUAACAGUGAGGAAGAUGCCAAAGCUGCAAAGGAGGCCAUUGGAAGAUGGUGAAAUUGAUGGAAACAAAGUUACCUUGGACUGGGCCAAGCCUAAGGGUGAAGGUGGCUUUGGGGGUCACGGUGGAGGCAGAGGCGGAUUUGGUGGCAGAGGCCGGGGAGGCUUUGGAAGCCGAGGAGGCUUCCGAGGUGGAAGAGGAGGAGGAGGAGACCACAAGCCACAAGGAAAGAAGACGAAGUUUGAAUAGCUUCUUUGUCCCUGUGUCUUUCCCUUAUCUGUUUGAAAGAAAGGACUCUGGGUUUUUACUCUGUUACCUGAUCAAUGACAGAGCCUUCUGAGGACAUUCCAAGACAGUAUACAGUCCUGUGGUCUACU